rnacentral:rRNA from 2 species
AGCUUGCUUUCCAUGAGAGUGGCGCACGGGUGCGUAACACGUAUGUAACCUACCUUGUUCAGGGGGAUAGCCUCUCGAAAGAGAGAUUAAGACCGCAUAAUGUUAUUGAAUGGCAUCGUUUAAUAACCAAAUAUUUAUAGGAACAAGAUGGGCAUGCGGAACAUUAGCUAGUUGGUAAGGUAACGGCUUACCAAGGCUACGAUGUUUAGGGGAUCUGAGAGGAUGACCCCCCACACUGGUACUGAGACACGGACCAGACUCCUACGGGAGGCAGCAGUAAGGAAUAUUGGUCAAUGGGCGGAAGCCUGAACCAGCCAUGCCGCGUGCAGGAAGACGGCCCUAUGGGUUGUAAACUGCUUUUAUACGGGAAUAAACCUACUUACGUGUAAGUAGCUGAAUGUACUGUAAGAAUAAGGAUCGGCUAACUCCGUGCCAGCAGCCGCGGUAAUACGGAGGAUCCAAGCGUUAUCCGGAUUUAUUGGGUUUAAAGGGUGCGUAGGUGGCUUUUUAAGUCAGGGGUGAAAGACGGCAGCUUAAC